CCGCGCAGAGCCAGAGAGGGAAAAUCACUUUCAGCUGGAGAAGCGCGUGCCAAAUGCAGGUCACCGCUGUCCCUAAAAAAAAAAAAGUAAGGAACGGCUGAGGACUGUUCCUUAGCAAGAGGCAACGCGGAGUGCCUGGUUACAGCCCUUAGCCUGGUAUAUUGGCCAUAUACCACAAACCCCCGAGAUUAAGGAUAGAUUUGAGUUGGCCUGAUGGAGAGCUCUUCCAGACUGCUCCGGCCCAUGGAGGAUGCAGAGCAUCACAUAAGAUCAAACAUUGAUAAACCAGUACUUUACCAGCGUUUUAUCAAUAUCUUUAAAGGUAAGGUGAAUAUUGAAUAUAUUUCUGACAGUCC
ensembl:lncRNA